rnacentral:rRNA from 1 species
GACGAACGCUGGCGGCGUGCCUAAUACAUGCAAGUCGAACGCUUUGAUUUUCACCGGAGCUUGCUCCACCGAAAAUCAAAGAGUGGCGGACGGGUGAGUAACACGUGGGCAACCUGCCCAACAGAGGGGGAUAACACUUGGAAACAGGUGCUAAUACCGCAUAAUUUGUUUUUCCGCAUGGAAGAAUAAUAAAAGACGCUUCGGUGUCACUGUUGGAUGGGCCCGCGCUGCAUUAGUUAGUUGGUGGGGUAACGGCCUACCAAGACCAUGAUGCAUAGCCGACCUGAGAGGGUGAUCGGCCACACUGGGACUGAGACACGGCCCAGACUCCUACGGGAGGCAGCAGCAGGGAAUCUUCGGCAAUGGACGAAAGUCUGACCGAGCAACGCCGCGUGAGUGAAGAAGGUUUUCGGAUCGUAAAACUCUGUUGUUAGAGAAGAACAAGUGAGAGAGUUACUGUUCUCACCUUGACGGUAUCUAACCAGAAAGCCACGGCUAACUACGUGCCAGCAGCCGCGGUAAUACGUAGGUGGCAAGCGUUGUCCGGAUUUAUUGGGCGUAAAGCGAGCGCAGGCGGUUUCUUAAGUCUGAUGUGAAAGCCCUCGGCUCAACCGAGGAAGGUCAUUGGAAACUGGGGAACUUGAGUGCAGAAGAGGAGAGUGGAAUUCCAUGUGUAGCGGUGAAAUGCGUAGAUAUAUGGAGGAACACCAGUGGCGAAGGCGACUCUCUGGUCUGUAACUGACGCUGAGGCUCGAAAGCGUGGGGAGCAAACAGG